GUUCGGGUAAGAAUCGAAUGCUUUAAAAAUUAGCAGUCCAUCUUUUAAAUCAUCUUGCAGGAAUUGUACGACGAGAUGCAGAUCGUUGCAGAUACGCGCGCGCGCAUUAUUGUCAUAAGAGAGAGAGAGAGAGAGAGAGAAAGGGAGGGGCGAGGGGAAACACGACACUCAAAUCUGGUCUCUCAAAAAUGAUUAAAAACUUCAUCAAUAAAUUAAAUCUAUAAAAUCUCCAAACACACACAUUUCUGAAAUUAUCAUCGCUGACAUUGAAAAUGAUUAAUAUUCUAUCUACUAAUAAAAUUUGGUAAUGAAUAUUUUUCGAAAGUAAUGUAAUCACAGGACACUCUCAUUGUAGUUAUCCAGGUCUUGUUCGCUACAAUUGUUCUUGGUCAUUUCUAUACCGUGAUUUAAAGGGGAGCCAAACACUGAUCGAUAAAAGGAUUCUUCGUAAAAGAUGUUUGACUCAUCCGGGAAUCGAACUUUGCACCCUGCUUCAGAACAUUCGAAUGCUGGUUACUGGUCGAAGAAACAUCGUCACUUAACUUUUCGCCAGUUAAACACGUUUCGUUAGCAUAUUAAUAGCGUAUUGUACUUUAUUGUUCGAUAAAAACGCACAGUACGGCGCGCCAUGCGUGUAAGCUUGAUAAAAGGAACAAAUAGAAAUAGAAGAAG